AUUAGUUUUGUUCUUUAAACCUAAAGAAUUUGGCGGUGUUUUAUUCUAUUCAGAGGAAUUUGUCCCUUUAUCGAUAAUCCUCGUUUUAUCUUGCUUUAUUUUAUUAAGUAUGUAUAUCGCCGUUAUAAGUUUAUUUUUUUAGAUUAUUUACUUAAUAUUUUAUUUAUUAUUAUUUCAGGUCAAGGUGCAGUUUAUAAUAAAGUGGUGAUGAAUUACAUUAUAAUUGAAUAUUACGGAUGUUUUAUUUUAAAAUUUUACUGAAGGUGGAUUUGAUAGUAAUUUUGUUAAUAUUGUCAUUUUGAUUUAAGUUCUAAAAUGAGUACACAUCGCCCGUCGCUCU
rnacentral:rRNA from 1 species